rfam:Triticum urartu cultivar G1812 contig747567, whole genome shotgun sequence.
UAAGUACUCCCUUUGUCCCAAAUUUCUUGUCUUAGAUUUUUCCAGAUACGGAUGUAUCUAAUACUAAAAUGUGACUUGAUACAUCCGUAUCUAGACAAAUCUAAGACAAAAUUCUUGAAACGGAGGGAGUACGAG